GCCUUCAAAGCACCACCGUCUCGGAGGGGGUCCUGCGGCCACAUAACGUCGGAUUCGCAAAGAACACCGACUCCCUAUCUCUCCACAUUGACUGCGAAGAGGCUCCACCACUCAUAGGUCCGAACAAUCACAUGAUCCUCCUCCUACACUCACCGUUCGAGAAGUAACUGUCGGAAAGUAAACGAACCUGGAGAACCGCCUUCUCCGUGGUAGAUCCGCCGUCAAACGAGUCCCUCCCAACAGAUCGAUACAAACCCUAGAAAUUCCAAUGAAUGAUUUUUGUUAUUCGCCGGGGCUCCACCGUCCUCUAGCAGAGCAACACCUUCGACCAACGAGCCGCCAGGACCCAUGAGGCACUCCUAGGGAUCCGCCGCACCAUGGAUUGAAAAACGGUAUCGGAAAAAAGAGAAGAGAAGCACCACUGAAACGUCACCGGAUGCCAACUACUUCGUCAGUAAGCUCAGACGCCGAAGGAGGGGGUGGGUGGGAGCCGGCCUGAGUGUCCGACGAAGCUAAUUAUGACUGUUAGAUUUGAUGUUGGUUCAAAUGAAUUUAAUUAUAGUUCUGGGUCGCUACUUUUUUCCUUAUACGAACAGGGUCUUUAGUCUGCUUCACUAGAUUUGGGUUUAUAUAGUGAAUGGAAUCACUCUGUUCUAAAGGAUAUGGUACAAGUAGAAUCUAUCUGGGUUUGAGAGCCAUGAGAUUCUUAGUGUUCUAUCUUUCUCUGAUUCUAGGUGGAAAACAUUGUUUUGGCUCUAAAAAUUCAGAUUUGUGUGUCAAAUUUUCAUGGUACUUGACAAGAUUACAACUUUUCUUACCAUGAAAAGACAUAAACUUUAUAACUUGCAUUGUUGUUUAUAACUUGCAUUGUUGUUGCUUGCUUUUAUCUUACAGAUGUGAAACACCAUGAUUUUGUACGUUAAGGUUUGGCGUUUUUGAGACCUUUGCAGCGAAAGGGGAUGAUUGUGCAAGAGAAUGCCAGAGAAAAGAUGCAGAUCAUGGUAGCAGGUGGUGAUGGUACAGGUGCUCGGGUUCUCCAAUCUCUUAUCCAUAAGUAGGUGGCAAUGUCAAUAUACUGUUGACAGAAGUUUUCAGCUGGCAUAGCUCCAUGUAUAGUAGUGAUAUUCUUCCCCUCUCAAGUGUUUAAUGAAAGUUAUCCACCAUGGAGUUUUCUCUAUAAAUAAGUUUUUGAUGUUGGUUAUGUUUGAAAGUGACAAGGACCCGGUAAGUACUCUAGGUAAGUAGGUGUAUUCAUAUAAUUGGAGAAUAAACAGCGUGUCAUUGUUGGUUUGUUUCAAAGACGAGAAUAAAAAGCCUUACUAGAAGUUUUUAAGACA